rnacentral:rRNA from 1 species
UACGUAGGGUCCAAGCGUUAUCCGGAAUCACUGGGCGUAAAGCGUGCGUAGGUGGAUGUUUAAGUGUGAUGUUAAAUCGUGUGGCUCAACCAUAUCGAUGCAUCGCAUACUGGACGUCUAGAGGACAGCAGAGGCAAGUGGAAUUUGUAGUGUAGCAGUGAAAUGCGUAGAUAUUACAAGGAACACCAAUGGCGAAGGCAGCUUGCUGGGCUACUCCUGACACUGAGGUGCGAAAGCGUGGGGAGCGAACAGG